ACCUGCUACAUGAACCUGAAGCGUGCACCUUCUUUUGGACCGAGCUGAACUUAUCAUCCUUUGUGGACAUUGAAGAUGAUGAGACUUCUGUGAAAAAUUAGCUACCGAGGAAAAACUCGUCCUUUACCAGGGAUUGCUUUUACUUUGAAGAACUGGGUGAGGCAUUCUAUUGACAUGGAUACUCCAACUUUGGAGGAUGCAUUUGAUAGAUUGAAGAGCUUUUGUGAUCGCCACUCCAUUUCAGGUGAAACUCCACGCAAAGCUGUCAAUGGUAUCAACUAAAGGGUUCUUAUGUAAGCCUAUGUCUUUUUAUAUGUUAUAAUAAUAAAUAAAUGGGGGUGUUUUGCUUUUAUGAAUAAGUUAUGAACACCUUUCGAGUUUGUGACAGAAUAAAUCAAUGGUAUACUAUAGUAACCAUUAAGCAUGUAAUGUUUUCACAUCGUUUGGUAUGUCUUUCGAUGUAUGUAUUUUCUUUGUACAUUCUAUAAACGAAUAAGUUUCAGUA